rnacentral:rRNA from 1 species
UACGGAGGGGACUAGCGUUGUUCGGAAUUACUGGGCGUAAAGCGCACGUAGGCGGAUUUGUAAGUCAGGGGUGAAAUCCCGGGGCUCAACCUCGGAACUGCCUUUGAUACUGCAAAUCUCGAGUCCGGAAGAGGCGAGUGGAAUUCCUGGUGUAGCGGUGAAAUGCGCAGAUAUCAGGAAGAACACCAAUGGCGAAGGCAGCUCUCUGGGACGGUACUGACGCUGAGACGCGAAAGCGUGGGGAGCGAACAGG